AUUUCUUCUAUUUAUCUAGAGUUUUUCAGUCUUUAAAGUCUUGGAUCGAUCAUCUUCACGCUCGUGCAACCGUAAUAUUGUGGAAUCGCGACGACUGUGGAACGUUUCUGGAGGACAAGUCACAAGUGCAGCAGCCUGCCUAUUUCGUCGAGGCAUACCGGUUCUUGCUGAGCUCCCGUUAGCGGUUUACUCAAGAUCCGUUUCCGGCUGAUAUUCGGUCUGACUGAAUCCAAC